ACGAGUUAGAGUUCGAGUCGCGCUAGGACGAACGCUGGCGGCGUGCCUAACACAUGCAAGUCGAGCGGGACAUGCGACGGAAGCGAAGUUUCGGAUGGAGCGGAAGAUGUUUGUUCUAGCGGCGGACGGGUGAGUAACGCGUGAGCAACCUGUCCCUUACAGGGGGAUAACACAGCGAAAGUUGUACUAAUACCGCAUAAGACCACGGGGAGACAUCGUCCCAGGGGUCAAAGGAGUAAUCCCGGUAAGGGGUGGGCUCGCGUCCGAUUAGAUAGUUGGUGAGGUAACGGCCCACCAAGUCGACGAUCGGUAGCCGACCUGAGAGGGUGAUCGGCCACAUUGGGACUGAGACACGGCCCAAACUCCUACGGGAGGCAGCAGUGGGGAAUAUUGGGCAAAUGGGGGGAACCCUGACCCAGCAACGCCGCGUGAGGGAAGAAGGUUUUCGGAUCGUAAACCUCUGUCCUUGGUGAAGAGGAAGAGACGGUAGCCAAGGAGGAAGCCCCGGCUAACUACGUGCCAGCCGCCGC
rnacentral:rRNA from 1 species